CGCCUGGGGAGUGCGGCCGCAAGGUUAAAACUCAAAUGAAUUGACGGGGGCCCGCACAAGCGGUGGAGCAUGUGGUUUAAUUCGACGCAACGCGAAGAAUCUUACCUGGCCUUGACAUGCAGAGAACUUUCCAGAGAUGGAUUGGUGCCUUCGGGAACUCUGACACAGGUGCUGCAUGGCCGUCGUCAGCUCGUGUCGUGAGAUGUUGGUUAAGUCCCGUAACGAGCGCAACCCCUAUCCCUAGUUGCUAGCAGUUCGGCUGAGAGCUCUAGGGAGACUGCCGGUGACAAACCGGAGGAAGGUGGGGAUGACGUCAGGUCAUCAUGGCCCUUACGGCCAGGGCUACACACGUGCUACAAUGGCGCGCACAGAGGGCUGCAAACCCGCGAGGGGGAGCCAAUCUCACAAAACGCGUCGUAGUCCGGAUCGCAGUCUGCAACUCGACUGCGUGAAGUCGGAAUCGCUAGUAAUCGUGAAUCAGAAUGUCACGGUGAAUACGUUCCCGGGCCUUGUACACACCGCCCGUCACACCAUGGGAGUGGAUUGCACCAGAAGUGGUUAGUCUAACCUUCGGGAGGACGAUCACCACGGUGUGGUUCAUGACUGGGGUGAAGUCGUAACAAGGUAACCGUA
rnacentral:rRNA from 1 species